CCUCCCGCGGAGAAAAACUGGCGAGAGGCAGCAGAUUGUCAGGUUCAAUACAUGUCACUUGUCAAAAAAUGAAGGUGCCGGCGGAGGAAUUGAUGAGCGAUAUUCUGAAGCGUUUAACGGGCGAGUCUGCGCUCCCUGUGUACAGCAACAUUGAAAAGUUCAAACGAGCAAAGGACGGCGUGUAUUUCGUCGCCGAAGACUUCAAUGAAACUGUGAAAAAAAGGGAGUUGGUCAACGCUAAGGAACGACUGAGAAUCAGGAACUUGAACACCAUGUUCUCCCGCUUGAAACGCAUGGUUCCACUUAUGCGACCGGACCGGAAGCCCAGUAAAGUGGACACACUUAAAGCUGCAGCGGAAUACAUUCGAUUGCUUGUUGCAGUUUUGGAGGACGCCGACAGUCAUGAUGGCGGUGGGACUGAUUUCCUAAAGAAUGCAAUCACUUACGGUCAGACUGAAGGCUUGGGCAAUGACUUAUGGAGAGUGGAUGAUUUUCUGAACAUGUCAGAUGAGCACAUGGAAGAUGGAUUCACUAUGCCCCCAGAACCAUUAACAGAGGAUGGAGAUAUGACCAGACUGGUGUUGCAACAUUGUGUGAUGCCUGCAUACCAGUUCAUCAUCCAAGUAGCACCUGAUCAGACUUCGGUGUCUUAACCCUGCCGAGUGGUGCCAUGAGCAGAUGGCUUCAACCAAUAUUGGAAACAUGCCAGCUUUAUUGUUUAAUAACACUGGAGCACAGCAGAGAAGAGUCAUUUUUCCCACUGAUUUGAAAAGCAUUGUUACACCACCCUCUUCUGGUUGAAUGUUUCAAGUCUGUCACACCCAGCUUCACUGUUAGGUGUGAUCAGUAGUGUACACUGUUGCACCUAUAACCUGACCUUACACCAGAGUCAGGGCACUCAGCACACCAAUUUCAGUGCGUUGUGCUGGGGCUACUGUUAGCAGUAGUGCACAUGCUACAGUUGUAUGCAGAUGUUUGUGUACACCCAGGCAGCUGACAUGUUUGGAUUUUUGAAGUGAAAAGAAGUAAAUAA